GGGUUGUGAGGUUAAGCGACUAAGCGUACACGGUGGAUGCCCUGGCAGUCAGAGGCGAUGAAGGGCGUGCUAAUCUGCGAUAAGCGCCGGUAAGGUGAUAUGAACCGUUAUAACCGGCGAUACCCGAAUGGGGAAACCCAGUGUGAUUCGUCACACUAUCAUUAACUGAAUCCAUAGGUUAAUGAGGCGAACCGGGGGAACUGAAACAUCUAAGUACCCCGAGGAAAAGAAAUCAACCGAGAUUCCCCCAGUAGCGGCGAGCGAACGGGGAGGAGCCCAGAGCCUGAAUCAGCAUGUGUGUUAGUGGAAGCGUCUGGAAAGGCGCGCGAUACAGGGUGACAGCCCCGUACACAAAAGCGCAUAUGCUGUGAGCUCGAUGAGUAGGGCGGGACACGUGGUAUCCUGUCUGAAUAUGGGGGGACCAUCCUCCAAGGCUAAAUACUCCUGACUGACCGAUAGUGAACCAGUACCGUGAGGGAAAGGCGAAAAGAACCCCGGCGAGGGGAGUGAAAAAGAACCUGAAACCGUGUACGUACAAGCAGUGGGAGCCCCACCACUAAGCCAGUGGUGAACUCCACAUACGCAUCCUUUGCUGAGGAUACGGUUAACGGAGCGAAAGCG
rnacentral:rRNA from 2 species